UAUAUGAACUAUGGUUUGAUAUAGUUAUCGGUGUUUAUACGAUUUCGAAGUUGUGCCGACAAAAUAGUGACUUGUCAUAUAUAGAGAACAGAAAGAAUAGCUAUAGCUAUGUCGAGGCGGUUGAGGUAACAGUUUCCUUUAACUGUGAAAUAUAAAAAGUCUUUCUUUCGGCUGGCUAAUGUCGAAUAGUAGCGAUGCAGAGACUCAGAUUGGAUGAAGCAUAAUAUCCUGUCACUAUAAAGAUUAAAGUCUGGGUGAUAUGGCAAAGUAUGGAGUUGGCGAGUGAGUUUACCACGCAAGUAUAAUCAGCGUAAACCAACCAGAAUCUCCCCAAAUGACUGGGAAUUCUUAAGUUAAAAAAGCCCCAGUUGCCAAGAAAUUUCCAUCGAUAUUUACCCUCGCACUUCCAAUAAGAUCAUGAGCGGAAAGAUGAUUGAUGUCGUAGACACAGAGUAGUAAUGAUUGUCCUUGCAACUCUUCGAUUGGUAUUUGAUAAUUAAUGGUAUCAUUAAAGAGGGGAGAAAUACUAUUUCGCGCAUAGCGUGUUUGGGCUUUAGCUUCAUAU